GUUGCCGAGCCCUAGUUCAGGGAUUCUCAGACUUUUGUCCUGGUGACCUUUCACACAGCAAGCCUCUGAGUGCGAUCCCCCCUUCUAAAUUAAAAACACCUUUUUAUAUAUUGAACACCAUUAUAAAUGCUGGAGGCACAGAGAUGUUUGGAGUGGAGGCUGACAGCUCAUGACCCCACAUGUAAUAGCCUCAUGACUCCCAAGGGGUCCCAACCCCCAGUUUGAGAACCCCU